GCCUGUGGCUAGCUCAGUUGGUCAGUGUGUGGUGCUGGUAACACCAAAGUCACAGGUUCGAUCCCCAUACGGGCC